UGUAAAAAAAAUUCAUUCAUUUAUACUGUUAAACACUAGCGUGGUUGAUGGAAUAACCAAACAGUGACACGUGACGUGUUACAUGUACCUCAUACUGACGUACAUGGACCAUGUUUAACAGUAAAAAUGGAUGAAAUUUUUAACA
rfam:Gossypium raimondii Chr06_contig_846, whole genome shotgun sequence.